rnacentral:lncRNA from 1 species
CAUGCGUGUCUGCCAGACACAGCAACAUGCAGGAGGAGGGAGGGAAGGAAAGCUUUGAAGCCUCCUAGGGGACUACAGCUCUGCCUUAAUGAAAUCCAUUACAGAGCUCCGCUUUCAAUAAGGGAAGGCACUUGCAAAACACAUGUCUAGCAACGAAAAUGAGACUCUCCCAUGAAGUGUAAAAGUUGUGACAAGGCAGCUACAGAUGGAGAUGACAAGGUUCUGCCUGCCACAGACAGCUCAGAAAAUAUCCCAAAGUGUACGACAGCCACAGGGAGUUCCGGGAUUUCAAUCAGAGCUCGAUGGAAUCAAGCGCAGCCUGAAAUACAUUAGCUGCAUGGUGUAUGUAGCUACAUCAAUGGACUUUCAGACCAAGGAAGAUCUCCAGAUACAACAUAUUUCAAGAAAAAUGUGUUUCCUUCCCAUGCUCCACACUGUGGCCACUAGUCAGUAUAUGGAGAAAGAAGGGCUAGAAUUCACGCCUUCCAUGUCCAAAUGCAUAUCCACCCCUACUGCAUAGGCUGAAGAAGAAGAAUCUUCUCUACGUAUUAGCAGUAGAGGGACUAUGAGACACAGCUGAGGCGUUCGGAUUCCCUGCAGCAGGAGGGAUGUGUACACAGUCAGAUAAUUGAAAUACCUUACAUUACCAUAACUAGAAAGGAGCGCAAACUGUAGCCCAAAUCACACCCUCCUGGGUGAAUAACAUACAGGAGGAGCAAAUGGCAGAUGGAAGACACCAUGAACUUGAGUUUCAAGUGCUCCAGCAGCUCAGCAAUCACUUAACACACCAGACUGGGCACAUUGAGGGCCUGAUCCAAAGCCCAUUGAAUGCACCAGAUGCCUCCUACUGACGUCGAUGUCCUCUGGAACAGGCCUUGGCUCUGUAUUGACUCACCAGCAAGAGGCCUACCUAUUGAACUGCUAGCCCCCCUUCCUGCAACGCCGGCCAUGAUGAACCCUGGUGAGUUUGGGCGUUGUCUCUGUUUCUCAUCUGUUGUCUCUGGGAUGAUUUUGUAAUCUAGGUUCUGGCAGGAGAGAGGGGUUGUCCAGGACAGGAGCGACGUACUAAAACAUCCU